rnacentral:rRNA from 1 species
CGUUAGCGGCGGACGGGUGAGUAACACGUGGGUAACCUACCUAUAAGACUGGGAUAACUUCGGGAAACCGGAGCUAAUACCGGAUAAUAUUUCGAACCGCAUGGUUCGAUAGUGAAAGAUGGUUUUGCUAUCACUUAUAGAUGGACCUGCGCCGUAUUAGCUAGCUGGUAAGGUAACGGCUUACCAAGGCGACGAUACGUAGCCGACCUGAGAGGGUGAUCGGCCACACUGGAACUGAGACACGGUCCAGACUCCUACGGGAGGCAGCAGGC